rnacentral:rRNA from 1 species
GACGUAGGGGGCCAGCGUUGUUCGGAAUUACUGGGUGUAAAAGGGUUCGUAGGCGGUGCGGCAAGUUGGGAGUGAAAUCUCUGGGCUUAACCCAGAGGCUGCUUCCAAAAACUGCUGUGCUUGAGUGUGGGAGAGGCGCGUGGAAUUGCAGGUGUAGCGGUGAAAUGCGUAGAUAUCUGCAGGAACACCCGUGGCGAAAGCGGCGCGCUGGACCACUACUGACGCUUGAGGAACGAAAGCUAGGGGAGCAAACAGG